rnacentral:tRNA from 2 species
CUCCCGUGGUGGAGCCCGGGCCGCCGCCCAGGUGGAGGGCGAGCAGGGGCACCGCGGUGUUCCCGGCCGCGUUCGAGCCGCGGACGGCGUCC